AAUGAAUACUGAAUGCAUAUUAAUUUACAAAGGCAUUUGCAAUAUAUUUGACUUCUUUUUCUCCUUUCUGUUUUUGUAAACAGGACCUACAUACACCCCAAAGGCUCUUUUCAGAGCCAUUUGACCAAGCAUCUUUGUACAUGCCGGUUUUCCUUCAGUAGUGCCAGUUUUCCUAAGAUUUUACCUCGUCCUCCACUGCCUCCAGUAAUUCCUGGUUUUAAGGUGGAGUAAUGGAGUAAAGAUGCAACGGAGCAGCUGAUAAGAAAACAUGCUUAAGACCAUCUUAAACGUGCACCAUCAAGAAAGGGAGGGGUACACAAUAAACAUUUUUUUUUAACAUUACUUUUUGAAUAGAUGCACUUUUUAAAUUUUUUUUUUAAGUAUAUAUAUUGUUUAUUUAUGUUGUUUUUAAAUGUUAUAAUUGUAUUGUUUUUAUUUGUUGUAUUUAGCUUUUAUGCAUUUGUACA